rnacentral:rRNA from 1 species
AUUGAACGCUGGCGGCAGGCCUAACACAUGCAAGUCGAACGAGUGGCGGACGGGUGAGUAAUGUCUGGGAAACUGCCCGCUGGAGGGGGAUAAAUACUGGAAACGGUAGCUAAUACCGCAUACCAUCGGAUGUGCCCAGAUGGGAUUAGCCAGUAGGUGGGGUAACGGCUCACCUAGGCGACGAUCCCUCGCUGGUCUGGGAGGAUGACCAGCCAAACUGGAACUGAGACACGGUCCAGACUCCUACGGUAGGCAGCAGUGGGGAAUAGUGCACAAUGGGCGCAAGCCUGAUGCAGCACUGCCGGGUGUAUGAAGAAGGCCUUCGGGUUGUAAAGUACUUUCAGCGAGGAGUCGUUACUCGCAGAAGAAGCAUCGGCUAACGCCGUGCCAGCAGCCGCGGUAAUAC